GUAGGUGGCAAGCGUUGUCCGGAAUUAUUGGGCGUAAAGCGCGCGCAGGUGGUUCUUUAAGUCUGAUGUGAAAGCCCCCGGGCUCAACCGGGGAGGGUCAUUGGAAACUGGGGAACUUGAGUGCAGGAGAGGAAAGUGGAAUUCCACGUGUAGCGGUGAAAUGCGUAGAUAUGUGGAGGAACACCAGUGGCGAAGGCGACUUUCUGGCCUGUAACUGACACUGAGGCGCGAAAGCGUGGGGAGCAAACAGGAUUAGAUACCCUGGUAGUCCACGCCGUAAACGAUGAGCGCUAAGUGUUGGGGGGUUUCCGCCCCUCAGUGCUGCAGCUAACGCAUUAAGCACUCCGCCUGGGGAGUACGGUCGCAAAGACUG
rnacentral:rRNA from 1 species